rnacentral:rRNA from 1 species
UACGAAGGGGGCUAGCGUUGCUCGGAAUCACUGGGCGUAAAGCGCGACGUAGGCGGAUCUUUAAGUCAGGGUGAAAUCCCAAGGCUCAACCGUUGGAACUGCCUUUGAUACUGGGGAUCUCGAGUCCGGAAGAGGUUGGUGGAACUGCGAGUGUAGAGGUGAAAUUCGUAGAUAGUUCGCAAGACACCGAGUGGCGAAGGCGGCCAACUGGUCCG